UACGGGGGGGGCAAGCGUUGUUCGGAAUUACUGGGCGUAAAGGGUUUGUAGGUGGCUUGUUAAGUCAGACGUGAAAUCCCUCAGCUUAACUGGGGAACUGCGUCUGAUACUGGCGAGCUUGAGUGCAGGAGAGGAACGCGGAGUUCCAGGUGUAGCGGUGAAAUGCGUAGAUAUCUGGAGGAACACCGGUGGCGAAGGCGGCGUUCUGGACUGCAACUGACACUGAGGCACGAAAGCGUGGGGAGCAAACAGG
rnacentral:rRNA from 1 species